rnacentral:tRNA from 1 species
CCUCCUUUCUAAGGAGUACUGUGGGGCAACUCACAGGAAGGUCGAACCGGAAUUGACAGACUCCUGCAUACCAAUUAUUUAUUUGGGCUUGUAGCUCAGGUGGUUAGAGCGCUGCCCUGAUAAGGCAGAGGUCCGUGGUUCGAGUCCACGCAGGCCCACAGGCUCUAUCCUAUCUGCUUGGGGCUAUAGCUCAGUUGGGAGAGCGCCUGCCUUGCACGCAGGAGGUCAUCGGUUCGAUCCCGGUUAGCUCCACAAUAUUUUUUUGCUUUUUGACAAUUGGGAAAUUGGAAAACUGAAUCAUUUUCUUUAAUGAUUCAAGUAGCCAAGUCAUCUUCAAGAAAGACACUUUAGUAAAGCUACUAAAGGCGUACGGAGGAUGCCUAGGCACAUGGAAGGCGAUAAAGGACGUGAUAAGCUGCGAUA